CUUUGAGAAAAGUGAUUACAGUAUUUCGCAUUUGUUUAAGUGAUCAUACGAUUGUAUAUCAAACCAUCUUGGAGCCAAGACUCUUCUCAACAAUAUUAAAAUGGUCAAGAUAAUCUGUUUAUUUGCCAUUUUUGCCAUCACCUUUGGAAGUGAAAUUCCAUCAACUACCGUUCCAUCAUUCGCAACGAGGCCUAUUCCGAAGUUAUUCCAAGCAGUUGGCAGCACUCCUAGAGAAUUUCUAACCACGGAAGCGGAUGAAGCAGUGACAACCAUUGCACCAGAGGUGGCAUCUUCUGACAUAGACAGGGCGGAAACUUUUGGGUUCGGGUACUACGGAUACCCAAGAUAUUACGGCGGAUAUCCUACAUACUAUCGGUAUUAUCCUAGCUACAGUUAUGGUUAUCCGUAUUACUAUUGAGGUGGUGAAUAAAGCAUUCAUAGAUGAAGCAAUAUUUUACUGAAGUA